UUGCUUCUAUGACGUUAGCGGCGGACGGGUGAGUAACACGUGGGCAACCUGCCUGUAAGACUGGGAUAACUUCGGGAAACCGAAGCUAAUACCGGAUAGGAUCUUCUCCUUCAUGGGAGAUGAUUGAAAGAUGGUUUCGGCUAUCACUUACAGAUGGGCCCGCGGUGCAUUAGCUAGUUGGUGAGGUAACGGCUCACCAAGGCCACGAUGCAUAGCCGACCUGAGAGGGUGAUCGGCCACACUGGGACUGAGACACGGCCCAGACUCCUACGGGAGGCAGCAGUAGGGAAUCUUCCGCAAUGGACGAAAGUCUGACGGAGCAACGCCGCGUGAGUGAUGAAGGCUUUCGGGUCGUAAAACUCUGUUGUUAGGGAAGAACAAGUACAAGAGUAACUGCUUGUACCCUUGACGGUACCUAACCAGAAAGCCACGGCUAACUACGUGCCAGCAGCCGCGGUAAUACGUAGGUGGCAAGCGUUAUCCGGAAUUAUUGGGCGUAAAGCGCGCGCAGGCGGUUUCUUAAGUCUGAUGUGAAAGCCCACGGCUCAACCGUGGAGGGUCAUUGGAAACUGGGGAACUUGAGUGCAGAAGAGAAAAGCGGAAUUCCACGUGUAGCGGUGAAAUGCGUAGAGAUGUGGAGGAACACCAGUGGCGAA
rnacentral:rRNA from 2 species